GUAGGUGGCAAGCGUUGUCCGGAAUUAUUGGGCGUAAAGCGCGCGCAGGCGGUUCUUUAAGUCUGAUGUGAAAGCCCACGGCUCAACCGUGGAGGGUCAUUGGAAACUGGAGAACUUGAGUACAGAAGAGGAAAGCGGAAUUCCACGUGUAGCGGUGAAAUGCGUAGAGAUGUGGAGGAACACCAGUGGCGAAGGCGGCUUUCUGGUCUGUAACUGACACUGAGGCGCGAAAGCGUGGGGAGCAAACAGGAUUAGAUACCCUGGUAGUCCACGCCGUAAACGAUGAGUGCUAAGUGUUAGGGGGUUUCCGCCCCCCUUAGUGCUGCAGCUAACGCAUUAAGCACUCCGCCUGGGAUACGGCCGCAAGGCUG
rnacentral:rRNA from 1 species